rnacentral:rRNA from 1 species
GAUGAACGCUGGCGGCGUGCUUAACACAUGCAAGUCGAGCGAAGCACUUAUGAUGAUCCUUCGGGUGAUUCAUUUGUGACUGAGCGGCGGACGGGUGAGUAACGCGUGAGUAACCUGCCUCAUACAGGGGAAUAACAGUUAGAAAUGACUGCUAAUGCCGCAUAAGCGCACAGGGCCGCAUGGCCCGGUGUGAAAAACUCCGGUGGUAUGAGAUGGACUCGCGUCUGAUUAGCUAGUUGGUGAGGUAACGGCUCACCAAGGCGACGAUCAGUAGCCGGCCUGAGAGGGUGAACGGCCACAUUGGGACUGAGACACGGCCCAAACUCCUACGGGAGGCAGCAGUGGGGAAUAUUGCACAAUGGGGGAAACCCUGAUGCAGCGACGCCGCGUGAGUGAAGAAGUAUUUCGGUAUGUAAAGCUCUAUCGGCAGGGAAGA